UACGGAGGGGGCGAGCGUUAUUCGGAAUCAUUGGGCGUAAAGGGCGCGUAGGCGGCCGGGCAAGUCAGGGGUGAAAUCCCUCGGCUCAACCGAGGAAUUGCCUCUGAAACUGCCCAGCUCGAGGCCGGGAGAGGGAAGCGGAAUUCCCAGUGUAGCGGUGAAAUGCGUAGAUAUUGGGAGGAACACCAGUGGCGAAGGCGGCUUUCUGGACCGGAACUGACGCUGAUGCGCGAAAGCGUGGGGAGCAAACAGG
rnacentral:rRNA from 1 species